rnacentral:rRNA from 1 species
GACCGGCGCACGGGUGCGUAACGCGUAUGCAACCUACCUGUAACAGGGGGAGUAACACUGAGAAAUCGGUACUAAUACCGCAUAACACUAUGAGAGGCAUCUCUUGUGGUUGAAAGUUUCGGCGGUUACAGAUGGGCAUGCGUUGUAUUAGCUGGUUGGUAAGGUAACGGCUUACCAAGGCGACGAUACAUAGGGGGACUGAGAGGUUAACCCCCCACAUUGGUACUGAGACACGGCCCAAACUCCUACGGAAGGCAGCAG